rnacentral:rRNA from 1 species
UACGUAGGGGGCGAACGUUGUCCGGAUUUAUUGGGCGUAAAGAGCUCGUAGGCGGCUCAGCAAGUCGAUCGUGAAAACCCGGGGCUCAACCCCGGGACGCCGGUCGAAACUGCUGUGGCUAGGGUUCGGUAGAGGAGAGUGGAAUUCCCGGUGUAGCGGUGGAAUGCGCAGAUAUCGGGAGGAACACCGGUAGCGAAGGCGGCUCUCUGGGCCGACACCGACGCUGAGGAGCGAAAGCUAGGGGAGCAAACAGG